AUGAAUAAUACAGUACGAGGGGAGGGAGGGGGGCGACAAUUAAGGUUUGGAGAGAGAGGAGAAGGAGGGUCAUAUAUCCUCAAGACUUAAAGUGAGGAGACUGCUCGCUCUGUCAGAGAUGUGCUGGCUGCCGAUAGACCAGCCCCUGCUGAGGCCGGGAGACUCCACCUGCAGCGGCCGCAGACUCUCGCCGUGCUCCGCGGCUCAGCUGCUCGCGUCGCGGCUGCGGAGGAUCGGGGACCACCUGGAGAAGAGCUGGACGGCCGGGGCCGGGGCCGGGGCCGGGGCCGGUGAGGGGGACGGGGAGGUCGGCCUCGGCUGCGGGGGCGCGGGGGCUUCGGUGGCGGUGGGCGCGAGGGGCAACUUCAAAGGCUUCCUGCGCAUGGCGGUGCGCCUCACCGCGCUCGUGCUAUUCGUCGCGAAGCGACACCUGUAGGGCGCGAGGCUGCGACACCAGCAACAGGAUGGUGCCUUUAAGAUGGUGAAUGAGGAAAAGCUGCAGAGUCGCAUCUUUUUGCACUUGAAGCGGAUGUGAGACAGUGGGAGGAUGGAUGCGCUCCCGGAAAAAACUGCGCACAAUGAGUAAAAAGAAAAGAAAGAAAAAACACACACAAAAAAACAAACAAAAAAAACAAAA